AACGAACGCUGGCGGCAUGCCUAACACAUGCAAGUCGAACGAGACCUUCGGGUCUAGUGGCGCACGGGUGCGUAACGCGUGGGAACCUGCCCUUAGGUUCGGAAUAACUCCCCGAAAGGGGUGCUAAUACCGGAUAAUGUCUUCGGACCAAAGAUUUAUCGCCUUUGGAUGGGCCCGCGUUGGAUUAGCUAGUUGGUAGGGUAAAAGCCUACCAAGGCGACGAUCCAUAGCUGGUCUGAGAGGAUGAUCAGCCACACUGGGACUGAGACACGGCCCAGACUCCUACGGGAGGCAGCAGUGGGGAAUAUUGACAAUGGGCGAAAGCCUGAUCCAGCAAUGCCGCGUGAGUGAUGAAGGCCUUAGGGUUGUAAAGCUCUUUUACCCGGGAUGAUAAUGACAGUACCGGGAGAAUAAGCUCCGGCUAACUCCGUG
rnacentral:rRNA from 1 species